UUAGCACUCUCAGCAUUUUGGUUAAGAUCAACUGUAGUUUCUGUUCUUCACAGUUUAGCAUCUGAUACAUGAGACACUCCCUCAUAAGAUAUUAAAUUAAUUCUUCUUUGGGGAAAGGUCCACCACAAUAGCUUGCUAUUGGGGCCUUCAUGUGUCGCCUACGUGGCCAUGUGUUGCACUAAUGCACAAUCCUAGCACACCCCAC